GGAGGGGUUCCCGAGUGGCCAAAGGGAACAGACUGUAAAUCUGUCGGCGACGCCUUCGGAGGUUCGAAUCCUCCCCCCUCCACCA
rnacentral:tRNA from 6 species